UACGUAGGGUGCGAGCGUUGUCCGGAAUUAUUGGGCGUAAAGAGCUCGUAGGCGGUUUGUUGCGUCUAUCGUGAAAACCUGCAGCUUAACUGGUGGGCUUGCGGUGGAUACGGGCAGACGUUGAGUUCGGUAGGGGAGACUGGAAUUCCGUGGUGUAGGCGGUGAAAUGCGCAGAUAUCAGGAGGAACACCGGUGGCGAAGGCGGGUCUCUGGGCCGAUGACUGACGCUGAGGAGCGAAAGCGUGGGGAGCGAACAGG
rnacentral:rRNA from 1 species